rnacentral:rRNA from 1 species
UACGGGGGGAGCAAGCGUUGUUCGGAUUUACUGGGCGUAAAGGGCGCGUAGGCGGCGUGACUAGUCACUUGUGAAAUCUCCGGGCUUAACUCGGAACGGUCAAGUGAUACUGUCGUGCUAGAGUACAGAAGGGGCAACUGGAAUUCUCGGUGUAGCGGUGAAAUGCGUAGAUAUCGAGAGGAACACCUGCGGCGAAGGCGGGUUGCUGGGCUGAUACUGACGCUGAUGCGCGAAAGCUAGGGGAGCAAACGGG